rnacentral:misc_RNA from 1 species
CAUAGCUUAGGAUGGCUUGAUAAACUAAGCUACAGGUAGUAGUAUUUUUUUUUCCAGUUUCAGUUUUAAUAGCUAACUCUUAAAUUGCCAUAAUGAAAUUCUCUUUCAGUUUCUGAAAAUUGAUUUUCAGAGUUUGUAAAUUCCAAAAAUUGUUGCCUUUUAUACCUAGUUUUUAGUAAAAAAUUACUAGUGCAGAAAUAGAAGAAUCAUCCCAUUAUAUUCAGCCCAAAGUACUUUCUUGCACUUCCCAUCUAUGCUUCUCAUUUCCUUUGCAUGGUA